AGGGGUGUAGUUCAGUAGUGAGAACGCACGGUCGGGGACCGUGAGGCCGUCGGUGCGAUUCCGGCCACCCCUA
rnacentral:tRNA from 2 species